rnacentral:snRNA from 1 species
AUCCUAGUGCACGGGUUUUACAUGUGUCAGUGAGGAGACAUCCGAGACCAUGUUUUUGCUAGUUGAAAACUACCUAGUUGACUGCUCCAGUUGGUCUUAGGAUCGGCUGGGAAUUUUUGAAAAAAAUUUGCCCUGACUUCAAAUUU